GCUUUCGUGUUCUCGAGGCGAAAGAGCGCGGCGACCGGUGCUCGUGCGACACACCUGCGCGCAGAGACGGGUCUCAUUGCAUGCCUGGCGCCGCGCAUUGCUCUUCGCACUGUGCGCGUGUGUGCAGUCAGCCUUUGUCGCUGGUGCUGCUGCCUCGACGCCAGCGGCAUGGCCAAGUCGAAGAAAGAGAAAAAGGCGGCUCGCCGUGAGCGCGAGGCGCAUCUGAAGAAGAUCAGUCAGAGAAUACAGGAGAAGAUUUUGCUGGCGGAGGUGGCGACCGCGGAGGGCGAGGUCGAGGAGAUUGUAUACACGCUGCCCCCCACCCCGGCAGAGCUGAGGGCGGCGGAGGAAGAGCAGGAGCGCCAGCAAGCCGCGAUUGCGGCGGAGGCCGAGGAGAGAGCCGCCGCCGCUGCUGCAGCGAAGGCGGCGCAGGCGGCAGCGGCUGCCAGCGCGGAGAAGGAUGAAGAGGAUCGAGUUGUGCUCCCGUCCUUGGAUGGAGGCGAGGGCGGCGCGAAGGGCUGCCGACACUCCUCCUCCGCCCUCAGCGGUCGCAAGCAUCACAGGAUGACGUGGGAGGAGCUGAAGCUGCGGGCGGCAGAGAUGUACGGCCUUGAGGCCACGGAGCUGGUCGACCAGCACGACGGCAACGCCGUUGACCCUCUCUUCACGGUGCGCAUGAAGAUGGAGCCGCACACGGUGCCGGUGCCGCACCACUGGCAUCUGCAGCGCACCUUCCUAUCUCGUCAGGCGGAUCGUGAGGAGGCGGUAGGCAUUGUGCCGGCAGAGGUCGCCGCUCUCGGUAUCGAGAAGAUUCGCGCCACCAAGGAUAAGAUGGCGACUCCGAACCAGGUCGCCUUCAUCUCGUGCUUCAUGACGGGCACGCCUCUGCAGCGCAAGACUUACAACGUCGAGCUGAGCAGGUGCGGGGAUGUGUUCUACGAGGGCAAGUGGCGGCCAAAGGCUCACCACACACCGGGCGUCUUGUCGAAGAGGCUGCGGCAGGCACUCGGGAUCGGCCCGACAGCACCACCGCCGUGGCUGUACAGCAUGCAAACAAUGCGCCGCCUUCCUCCCGCGUACCCAGACCUGCGCAUACCCGGACUGAACGCGCCCAUCCCUGCUGGUGGGCAGUGGGGCUUGGGACAGGACCAGUGGGGCGAGCCGCCGCGCGCGGAGGACAACUCCUUCCUCUUUCCGGGCGUCAUGGACGAGGCCGCUGCCGCCGGCUCCACCCAGGCCGAGCUGCGUUGGGGCACCGUCCCCCCCCUCGUCACAUCACACGAGGAGGUGCCAAGUGCCGCCGGUGCAUCCUCGUCCGGCGCUGCAUCCCCUGCUCCCGCCACAGCGGCACAGGCCUUGCCGCGCCCCACUCCGGCUGCUGGCCGGCCUGUCAUCACCCCCGUGCCCUUCCAGCCGCAAGCCUAUGUCCCGCAGCAAGCCGUCCCGGCCGCGCGUGUCACGCCGCAGGAGUACGUGCAGGUGCAGGACAACACGACCAACUCCACCGUUGCUGUAGGGUACAUGAUGAUGCCAAAGGACGGAGUGCAGUCGCAGCCACCACCGUCGCGGUACCCACCCGCGCAGGGUUCUUGAAUGCGCAUUGAUGGUGUGUAGAGCUCCGUCAGUGCUUCCUUUUUAUUUUGUUGUUGUAGCGUCCCCGGGUGUCCUCUGCGAACUCGGGCGUGUCUGUGAUUGGGGCUCCUGUAAUGAUCUUGUGAAGGG
rnacentral:misc_RNA from 1 species